rnacentral:rRNA from 1 species
GGAGUCCGAUUUAGCCAUGCUAGUCCACCGAACCCUUGAGGUUCGGGGCGGAAAGCUGAGUAACACGUGGCCAACCUACCCUGUGGACAGGGACAACCUCGGGAAACUGAGGAUAAUACCUGAUAGCAGAACCAUGCUGGAAACGCAGGUUCUGUGAAAUGACACGUCGCCACAGGAUGGGGCCGCGGCUGAUUAGGUUGUCGGUGAGGUAACGGCUCACCGAGCCCGUAAUCAGUAGCAGCCGUGGGAGCGGUAGCUGCCAGUCGUGUUCUGAGACAAGAACACGGGCCCUACGGGGCGCAGCAGGCACGAAACCUUUACAAUGCACGCGAGUGCGAUAGGGGGACUCCGAGUGCGUUCUUCCCACAAGGAAGGACGCUUUUCUGCACUGUAAGGAGGUGCAGGAACAAGGGGUGGGCAAGACUGCUGCCAGCCGCCGCGGUAAUAGCAGCACCCCGAGUGGUAGUCGUUAUUAUUGGGCUUAAAGUGUACGUAGCCGGACCUGUAAGUCUGUUGUGAAAUCCACGCGCUCAACGCAGUGGAAGCGCAACGGAUACUACAGGUCUAGGGACCGGAGGACGCCGAGGCUAUUCCAUGGGUAGGAGUGAAAUCCUAAGAUCCAUGGAGGAGCACCAGUGGCGAAAGCGCUCGGCGACUACGGAUCCGACGGUGAGGUACGAAAGCCAGGGGAGCAAAGCGGAUUAGAUACCCGCGUAGUCCUGGCCGUCAACAUUGUCCGCUCGACAUGGCCCAACCCUUGAGGUUUGGCUGUGUCCAAGUGAAAACGUUAAGCGGACCGCCUGGGUAGUACGGUCGCAAGGCUGAAACUUAAAGGAAUUGACGGGGGAGCACCACAACCGGUGGGGGCUGCGGUUUAAUUAGAUCAAACGCAGCGCACCCUACCAGAGCCGACAGCAGAAUGACGGUCAGCUUGAAGAGCUUACCCGACGCGCUGAGAGGAGCUGCAUGGCCGCCGUCAGCUCGUGCCGCGAGGUGUCCGGUUAAGUCCGGUAACGAGCGAGACCCGUACCCUAUGUUGCCACGGAGACACUAGCUGUCUUCGGCACUCGUGGGGGACCGCUGGCGAUAAGCCAGAGGAAGGAGCGGGCCACGGUAGGUCAGUAUGGCCCGAAUGCUCUGGGAUACACGCGGCCCACAAUGGCCGGUACAAACAGAAGCCACCCCGAGAGGGGAAGCUAACCUGCCAAAACCGGUCUCAGUCCGGAUCGAGGCCUGCAACUCGGCCUCGUGAAGUCGAAAUCGGUAGUAGUCGCUGGUCAUCAUCUAGCGGCGAAUAAGUCCCUGCUCCUUGUACACACCGCCUGUCAAGUCACCCAAGUCAGGUUCAGACGAGCCUCCAUACUCUGUGGAAGCAAGUCUGAGCUUGGCAAGGGGGGCUAAGUCAUAGCAA